CUUCACCAGGAACAGGGCUGAGACGUGGGAGUGCAGCUAAAGGGCCUAAAAACCAAAGCACUGAUGAUAGUGGGUUGGUGUGUUUAAAGAAAAACAAAAAUGUGUGUGCUAUGUCAUGUGUAUCUGAUUAUGCAAAAUGCAACUGUCCUAUUUCUUGGUGAGCAAAACCCACCUCCAGUCCCAACCAGCAUCCAGCCCCAGCCGCUUGGAGAAAAGGGGUCUGAAGCUAUGGUCCCCUUUUCCUCUCCUUGUGUUGUGCUGCUGAGCAAGACCUGGUGAGAAAGCACAGCCAAGCUCACACCAGCACAGCCCCACUGGGUGAUGCCAGGUCCAGCACAGGCUCUCCCUUUCCUGGCCCUCCCUGUGCCUGUGAGAUGAGCUGGGUCCUCCUGCAUCAGACAAAGCAAUGAAACCAGGCCCUGGCUUCCUCCUCUCAUCUCUGAUGAAUUUCUUUUGUUAUAGUUUCUCUCUGCACAUAAAUACAGAGCAGCUGAAGGAAGGUGGAAUUUGCCAAGCAGACUCUGGGCAAAGCUUGCACCCUGAGGCGGGAGCUGCUCCUCCCGCAUCCCACAGCAGUGCUGCAGAAAGCAUCUCAUGGUAGGAGGAAUGAGGGGAGCAUCACCUCCGGCUGCAGGUGGCCCCUGGCCUUCACAGUAUUUUCCCAUCACACCACCACCCAGUAACAUCUCACCACAAAGAGGGGCAGAGCUGCCUCCCGCCUAGAAGCAGAAGUAUUUUGAUUUUCUCACCGGGUCUCAGCACUGGGUGUUUACAGCGUGUGCUACUUGCUUGCAGAGGGCUUGUGGGGCUGUGCUCCCACGGAAGAACAACCUGAGAUGAAAGCAAAUCUUUUCUUAUGGCGUAAUGGCUGGUGGUAAUGAGAAGCCGUUCUCGGGUAGGAUGUGGUCAGCCUGGCU